rnacentral:rRNA from 1 species
AGUUGUUGCAGUUAAAAAGCUCGUAGUUGAAUUUCGGGAUUCUACCGUUGGUCGGGCUAUCCAGUCUGUACUAGCGUGUAGAAUUUCUACCUUCUGGGGAACCAUCAUGUUAUUNAUUUAGCGUGGUGGGAAACCAGGACCUUUACCUUGAAAAAAUUAGAGUGUUCAAAGCAGGCUUACGUCUGAAUACAUUAGCAUGGAAUAAUANAAUAGGACGGUGGUCCUGUUUUGUUGGUUUCUGAAUCACCGUAAUGAUUAAUAGGGAUAGUUGGGGGCAUUAGUAUUCAAUUGUCAGAGGUGAAAUUCUUGGAUUUAUUGAAGACUAACUUCUGCGAAAGCAUUUGCCAAGGAUGUUUUCAUUAAUCAAGAACGAAAGUUAGGGGAUCGAAGACGAUCAGAUACCGUCGUAGUCUUAACCAUAAACUAUGCCGACUAGGGAUCGGACGAUGUUAAAUAUUAUUGACUCGUUCGGCGCCUUACGGGAAAC